GGAGGAGGAGGAAGCAGAAAGAGGGGUUGGUGGAAGGAGCCGGAGGAGGAUAUCAACCUGGUAUUGGUGAGGAGGAGACCGCCGACGUUGAACAGCGCCGAUACGCGGUUGUGUGCGCGUUUGCGAGGAGUUAGAUUAGAGAGGAGGAGAGAAGAGAAAGAGGGAAAGAGGAGAGCGAAAGCGAGAGUGCGAGAGGAAGAGAGACGAGGUUGGAUAUGCGACGUUGGGACGUGCAUCAGUGUUGGUGAGAGUAAAACUUUUCUCGCUUGUGUUCGUACGCACGCAUCGACUCGUCUCUGAGGGAGAGAGAAAACUCGGGAGAGAACAAGGGAGAGAGAGAGCGACCGAGAACGGAAGAGAGGAGAGAGCCGGAGGAGAGAAAGAGAGAGAGGGGUGGCGCGGAGGGGAAGAAAGAUAGGGCGUAGUACGAUUUUGCUAGUACGGAGACGAGCUUCCAAGCAAAACGCGUGGUCCACCUCCGAGUUAUUUCCUUUUCCAUCCUCUUCCCCCACCUCCGUCUCCUCAACCCCCCUUUUCGCCAUCCCCCUUGCUCUGCCUCCUUCGUUCCUCGCUUCCCCCCAGGCCCUCCGCCGCCGCAGCUUGGACGGCACAAAUUAUUACCCGUCGCAGGUGCAUUUUUUCCUAUUCCCUCGCUCGUACGCCCUGCGCGCCUUGCCGCGCUUCACUCCGAAACGUCCGUCGUGUGACAAGAAAUUACGAGAGCUCGGAAGCGCGACCCUUCGCCUCGCUCAAUUACCAGCGACGAGGGUAAACCUCUGCUCGAAGUGCACGUAAACUGCAGCAGCCGGCGUGCGAUCUUCGGAGAAAUCACAUAGUUACCUGACAUACCGUCCUCUUCUCUCACCGUAUACGCGUGAGCUGCAUUGACCGCUACUGAACUUUGAUGUGUUUCCUGCACAAAAUUCGCCUCCGAAGUCAUAAAUUAGCUACUGGAGACCGAUGCGUUUCUCUUUGGCUGGCUCCCUCGAACCUGCACCAAUACCACGGGCCACCACUUCAGCGGGCUCAAAAGCAUCAAAAGCAAACGCCGGACAAACCUCACCGGUUUGCUGAUGGCGGGAAUUAUCGAGCUUCCUUCCAAAGUUGUCCGUGGACGGAGCGUCGGCCAGAUGCGGAGAGACGGGGAGAAGCAAAUCGAAAAUUUACUCUCAAAUUCACGCCGAAUAAUGCGGGGAAACGAGCACAGCUAAAGGCAAACGCCCUUAAACGCGACGGUAAGAUAGAGCACGAACGAUUACACGAACGAAAAUAAAAAAAAAACUCUCUCUGUCUUCUAUUCUGAAAAUAAAAUACAUUGUUACCUUGCGACUGAAACAAUUAAUGUCAUUCCGCGUUCGUGUUCGCGAGGUAAAACGAAUGUCCAGUAUAUAUGAACGCAUGACACUUCCUUCCCUUUACGUUCAAGCUGCAGGAAGAUACUAGUCGCUCUAGUUCCAAGGCACUUCCAAUGCAUUCAUGCAUUCAUAUCUCUUGUCUUACCAGACGUGAAAGAUCAACGUUAGAACUGUGCGCGAUAACGUUUGUCGAUAUUUGCCGUGUGUAUCGCAAUAAAUACGUGCGUCGAUAUUAAGGACUGUUAUCUCUCCCAGACACGUAUGGGUUUCAUGUGAAAAAAAUGAAUCGCACCAGUAAAAAAAACGCAACGAUAGUCACUUAAAUUAAAUUGUAGCUUAUUAUCA